rnacentral:rRNA from 1 species
CCUACGGGAGGCAGCAGUGGGGAAUUUUGGACAAUGGGCGCAAGCCUGAUCCAGCCAUGCCGCGUGAGUGAAGAAGGCCUUCGGGUUGUAAAGCUCUUUCGGCAGGAACGAAAUGGUUCGUGCUAAUACCACGGACUGAUGACGGUACCUGAAGAAGAAGCACCGGCUAACUACGUGCCAGCAGCCGCGGUAAUACGUAGGGUGCAGGCGUUAAUCGGAAUUACUGGGCGUAAAGCGUGCGCAGGCGGUUUCUUAAGUCAGAUGUGAAAGCCCCGGGCUUAACCUGGGAACUGCGUUUGAAACUGGGAGACUUGAGUGUGGCAGAGGGGGGUGGAAUUCCACGUGUAGCAGUGAAAUGCGUAGAUAUGUGGAGGAACACCGAUGGCGAAGGCAGCCCCCUGGGCUAACACUGACGCUCAUGCACGAAAGCGUGGGGAGCAAACAGGAUUAGAUACCCUGGUAGUCCACGCCCUAAACUAUGUCAACUGGUUGUCGGGAGAUUAACUCUCUUGGUAACGAAGCUAACGCGUGAAGUUGACCGCCUGGGGAGGACGGCGCGAGUAACGUACGAAGAAGUAGAGNGNGAGACGUGCGACGACGACGACGAGGGAGAGG